AUGUAAAACGGCGUCGUUUUGUUUAAGUCAGAAACCCUAGGCGCCGCACUAUAAAUAGCUCUCUCACACCUCACACGGUCAUUCCACAGCCUCAUGCCUUCUAGUCUUCUCUUCGUCAGUUCCCUUUUCUUUUUCGAUGUUUGAUUCUUCUCUUCAGCGCCUUAAGGCCCUCAACGGUAUGAGACUUCAAACGUUCCCGUAUUCCCUAAUCAACAAUCAGACUUCAGUUCCUCUCUUCCUCAAUCAUAAAUCCACUUUCGAUUUCGAUCCGAUUCUUCUGGGGUGAAGUGCCAAACUCCCUAUCUUGAAUCUGCCUCUUCUAGAAUCACCAUGAGCUCAUGGUCAAGGAUGAGAAGACCCUCCUCGUUGGUGCGAAGCCAGUCGCCAUCUUUGGGCUCAGAGGAGAUCCCAUGGAGUGGUAUGCUGCUGAUAUUGUCCACUACAAUGUUAAAAGACGAGGACAAAGCUGCUGCUCACUUGAAGAUGGAGCUGCUGGGAUUGUUAAUGAUGGGUCUGAGAUGGUGUGCCAAAUGAAAGGCACGGUUGGAUUGAAUGCUCCUCUCAUGAUACAGGCUUGAACCUUCAAUGUGCUAAUGUAAAUGGAGUGAAAUUAUUUGCAAGGGGCAAGAGGCAAGGAGAGAAAGAAUGACUCUGUCGUUAAGGGUAUGAUACGCUUGGAAGAACUUGUGAUUUGAAUGCCACAUGCUUUAAGGAAACAACUAGUUGAUGAUUGUCAAUCAGUUACUCAUCUGGGCAAGGCCCAUAUCCAUUCUUGCAGCUUGUUAAACUUCCCCGUACUCUAAAUGUUGAUGACAUACUGAAGAAGUAUCUAGAAUACAGAUCAAACAGCGAUGAUUUGCGACAAGAACCAAUUAUCAAAAUUUUCCAGCUGUUUUAGAGGAUAUAUUUCUAGAUAAUGUUUUUAGCUUUCUCUUUUCUUUCCAUAUCGAAAUGGCUCCAAUGGCCUUGAUUUUUUCCAUAUUGAGAAGGCUCCAAUGGCCUUGAUUUCUUAUUUCCUAGUUUCCAGUGUAAUUAUUGUAAGUAAAUUGGUGAGCAAGGAGCUUAAAAGGCUAGUUAAAAUAGAAAAAAAACCAUCAAACCGGCCUUCCAAAAAAAAAAAUUUGUUUUAAAUAAUUUUUAUAUAAGAAAAAAACCGAACAUAACCGGUUGGUUCGGUUCAGUUUUCGGUGUUGAAUUAAGAAAAAUGGAAAACCGAACCGAACAGAGGCAAAACCGAAAACUGAACUGAAUCAAACCGAACCCACCCCUAGAAAGAACUCAUUCGGUUGGGUCUAUGAAGGUGAAGCUACUGUUGCAAAAAUGACUCAAGCGUGGUGAAGCUACUGUUGCAAAAAUGACUCAAGCGUGCCGUAGCAUCAUCAAAUCAAGACGACAAGUUGGUCAGUCGUCAUCCACGUGAUGCUGAGCGUUUGUUGUCCUUUGAUUCAAUUAUGGCUUGCUACCAAUAAUUUACUGUUGGUAAAAGGUGAUAAAUGUGUAUGACCACUGUCGACAAUUAUUUGCAUGUGACUUUUUUUUUAAAAGUAUUAUUUACAUUUGAUUUUCUGCAAACAUUGUUUUUUUAAAUUUAUUUAAUAAACCCAACCCCUUCCCACCCGUCAAACAGUUACUAAGGGAGAGAGUUAGGAGGCAGGGGUAUGAUAAGUGAAAACUUGAGAAUUAUGGGUUUAGGUGUGCACAGGGACAUGGAAAAAUUCUUAAUGAAGGUCAUUUGAAUAUAUAAGUAAGGUAAAUGAAGAAACUACAUAACAUAUCCUAUUUAAGUUAGAGUGGUCAGAAUACAGAAGAGGCUGUGUCCUAUUAAUGGUUAUUUUCAAAUUUGGGGUGACAAAAAGUGAUGAAAAAAAUUUAAAUAAUAAAAUGCAUGAUAAUAUUUUUCCAGUGGGGCAUCAACUUCCAUUAUGGAUUAUUAUUGCUUUUCCCCAUUGAUUACGUAGGAAUAAUUCUAUAUUCCAACUUCUAUUUCAACUGGUCUUAGAAGCAUGAUGCGUUUUAGAAACACUGCAGGUGAAUGGCCAGAAAUUGGAGAGAAAAAGCGAGGUUUUGCAAUUGCCAGGAGCAAAGGAAAGGAAAAUAAGGAUUGCUUCACAAAAGUAAUCAACUAAGAAGCACCGAUACGGGUACGAGUAUCCGGAUACGGUACGGUCGGAUCCGUGGAUACGGCAAAUCCUAAAUGUAAUUGGAUCCGGGUACGCGAAGGAUACGUGAAUUAAAUAUAUAUAUAUAUAUAUAUAUAUAUAAUUAGAAGAAAAAAAAUUAUG